rnacentral:tRNA from 1 species
ACUAAUUUGGCAGAUUAAUUGUAUCAAAUUUAGAAUUUGAUGAUAGGAUAUUCCUAGUUAGUA